rnacentral:rRNA from 1 species
CUCGAAUUAAGAAGAGUUAAUUUUAUUGUAAUAUAAAUAUUUAUAAUAUAUAAUUGGUAAUGAAACGUUAUUCGUUUCUUAAUAUAUCUAGUUUUUUUAGAAAUAAAUUUAAUUAGGUGUAAUGUAAUAAAUUUUAUAGGGGAUUAGCUUUUGAAUUGAUUUAUAAAAAUUUAUAUAAAUAGGUUAUUUAUAGGAUUAGAAUUUUCUAUUAUUAAAAAAAUGUUAUAAUUAGUUUUUUUAUUUUAUUUAUAGAAAUUAUUGUUUAUAUUUUUAAUAUAUUGAAAUAAUGAUUAAAUUAGUAAGGUAAUAAAAAGGAACUCGGCAAAAUUAAUUUUCACCUGUUUAUUAAAAACAUGUCUUUUUGAUAAUAAUUUAAAGUCGGGCCUGCCCAAUGAUUUAAUGGCCGCAGUAUUUUGACUGUGCAAAGGUAGCAUAAUAAUUAGUUUUAUAAUUUAAAGCUGGAAUGAAGGGUUUGAUGAAAAAUUAACUGUCUCUAUAAUUUUAUUUUUAAGUAAGAAAGCUUAGAUUUUUUAAAAAGACGAGAAGACCCUAUAGAGUUUUUUUAUUGGGGUGAUAAUAAAAUUAAUAGAACUUUUAUUUUAAGUGUUUUUUUGAUCCUGGAUUACAAGAAAAAAUUACCUUAGGGA